CCUACGGGGGGCUGCAGUGGGGAAUAUUGGACAAUGGGCGCAAGCCUGAUCCAGCAAUGCCGCGUGAGUGAUGAAGGCCUUCGGGUUGUAAAGCUCUUUCGCACGCGACGAUGAUGACGGUAGCGUGAGAAGAAGCCCCGGCUAACUUCGUGCCAGCAGCCGCGGUAAUACGAAGGGGGCUAGCGUUGUUCGGAAUUACUGGGCGUAAAGGGCGCGUAGGCGGUGCUUCAAGUCAGGCGUGAAAGCCCCGGGCUCAACCUGGGAACCGCGCUUGA
rnacentral:rRNA from 1 species